AGCGUACACAGGUGCUGCAUGGCUGUCGUCAGCUCGUGUCGUGAGAUGUUGGGUUAAGUCCCGCAACGAGCGCAACCCUUGUGUUUAGUUGCAAACAGGUCAAGCUGUGCACUCUAGACAGACUGCCGUGGACAACACGGAGGAAGGUGGGGAUGACGUCAAAUCAUCAUGCCCCUUAUGAUCUGGGCUACACACGUGCUACAAUGGCCGGUACAACGGGCAGCGAAGGAGCGAUCCGGAGCGAAUCCUAAAAAGCCGGUCCCAGUUCGGAUUGCAGGCUGAAACUCGCCUACAUGAAGUUGGAGUUGCUAGUAAUCGCGAAUCAGAAUGUCGCGGUGAAUGCGUUCCCGGGUCUU
rnacentral:rRNA from 1 species